GCCGGCAUAGCUCAGUUGGUAGAGCAACCGCCUUGUAAGCGGUAGGUCCCCAGUUCGAAUCCGGGUGUCGGCA
rfam:Luteibacter sp. 22Crub2.1 genome assembly, contig: H037DRAFT_scaffold00009.9